rnacentral:rRNA from 1 species
GACGAACGCUGGCGGCGUGCCUAAUACAUGCAAGUCGAGCGCAGGAAACUGACGGAACUCUUCGGAGGGAAGGCAGUGGAAUGAGCGGCGGACGGGUGAGUAACACGUAAGGAACCUGCCUCAAGGAUUGGGAUAACUCCGAGAAAUCGGAGCUAAUACCGGAUAGUUCAACGGACCGCAUGGUCCGUUGAUGAAAGGCGCUCCGGCGUCACCUUGAGAUGGCCUUGCGGUGCAUUAGCUAGUUGGUGGGGUAACGGCCCACCAAGGCGACGAUGCAUAGCCGACCUGAGAAGGUGAUCGGCCACACUGGGACUGAGACACGGCCCAGACUCCUACGGGAGGCAGCAAUAGGGAAUCUUCCACAAUGGACGAAAGUCUGAUGGAGCAACGCCGCGUGAGUGAUGAAGGUUUUCGGAUCGUAAAACUCUGUUGUAAGGGAAGAACACGUACGAGAGGGAAUGCUCGUAUCUUGACGGUACCUUACGAGAAAGCCACGGCUAACUACGUGCCAGCAGCAGCCGCGGUAA